CCCCUGGGGAGCGAGAAAAAGCUGAAAAAAAAAAAAAAAAAAGGGAGAAGCCAAAAUCUCGCCCAGCCUCGGGGAGGCGCAAACAACGCGGAUGCAUCGCUGGCGCCUCGGUUUUAUUAUUUUUUAUUUUUUCCUUUCAUGACGCAGUGAUAGCCUUUCCCCCUGCCCCCCAUCCCCACGUGUUUUUGGGAGAUGGUUCCCCCCCAAAUGCGAGAGGUAUUUAGAGAUGUAGGUCUGUUACGCAGCCGAGCAGGUUUUCCACUUCGAUAUCGCCUCCGGCAGAUAGCGAAUUAAUUCCGUAUUUGGGGAAAAUUGGGCGUUUGCCAUAGGUAUUAGUCCGGGAAGGGGAAUGGAAAUGUUCGGAAGAGACGCUUAAAAAAAAAAAAAAAUUAAAAAAUAAGGAUGCUCCUCCUAUUUAUCAGCGGCUGGAGGCUUGUGUCCAAGCAUCUGCAGAUUUGCAUCUGAUCGGAUCCGGAUCAGAUGCUGCGGGAUCUGCACAGGCACAGAUCCUGAACGAGCAUUUCCAGGGGUGCUGAGCGGCCCCCCUUUCGGUGUCAGGGUUUCGGAGCUCAAGCUUUUUCUAUUUCGGACUACUAAGUCAGUGUGUUAUUCGAGAUGGGUUACAGCGCAAGCUGUUUUUGUGUUACCGGCUGUCUUGGCUAAAAGGCGGGCUUUAGCUGAACGUAGAAUUAACUUAAUGCAUUUUUUUAAAAAUACCAUGAUUAAACUAAAGCCAGAUAAACCUACUGCGGUGCUUUUGCCUCGCAGUUUUUUGCUCUGCUCCAAGAAGCCCGUGUUCCAGUGGGGUUUUUCUGCUGGGUUUAGAGAAAACAAGAGAGCAUAUGGACCACGUCCCAGUGAAGAAUAUUUUGUUUCCAGAACUCUUUUCGUCCCACCUUUCACUCUUUAUAGGUGGGGGUUCAUGGGGAAGGUCAGACUUUCAUACCAUUAUUGGCUCUACUGGUUUGGGGUUUUUUUGUUUUCUUUAUUUGAGGGGGUUGUGGUCAUAGUUUAAGUCCUUUUUUUUUUUUUUUUUUGAAACUGACUCUUCAACUGAUAGGAAUAAUUGUUGGGUGUAUUAUAAAGAUACUUCUUUGUGACAUCUAAAAUUAGUUUUCCAAAUAAUUAUUACCUGUAACAGCAAGUUACUCCUGCCUUCCAGGUCCUCUUCUGAUGGAGUUAAAGGAUGUUCUGUAGUCUUAUUUUAAGUUAGUAUAAAAUAGAAAUUGGCAAUUACUCUCUUGUGCAUGGACCAGGUGUGCUAUAAAAAGAACACCCCUAUGUGCGCUCAUAAUAUAUGUGAAAACACGGUGAUUUCUUGCCCCCUUCCCCGAAUUUCUGAUUUCUGGCCCAUGAUGGGACACACCCGGGUGUUUGGAUACUCCGCACUGUAAGCAGAAUAUUGCUUGAAUUUCUGAACUUGUCAGGUAGGUUUUUCGGUGUGUUUAGGUUGCAGCAGUCAGGAAAGCUCUUUGACACCAUUAAGACAUUUGAGUGUAGAAUCUAAUGUUUUUUUGAACUAUAAUUUCUAAAACUGUAAUAUCUACAUUAAGAGGAAACCCAUGGCAAGCAAUUUUCUUCGUGGUUUGUGGCAUAUAGGAGUGCUAGACAACCUAAUUACAGGAUCAUUAGCAAAACAGUUUCAUUAAUUAAGUAAAAUCAUUAAUUUCUUAAAUGUCAUGAAUUUUUUCUGCAAUGUGGAUAAAGGUAUACAUGAAGAUUUUUUUUUUCUUUAAAGUCAUGUCCUGUCUGCUCUGGGUCCUCCCCACCUCAAAAAAAGUACUGAGGAUAGAAUAUGCAUUUUUGGUUGCAUUUGUUAUUAAGUGUCAAUUUUAAAAAGGGUCACAGGUAUAAACUUCAGAAUUUAAGUUGCAGUUCAGUGGAGUAAUUAACCUGUUCUGUUGUAGGAUGUUUAAUUUACAAAACAGUUCGUGUUUCAGCAAGCUUAUAUUUAAGCUUAUAUGAAGAGAAGCCACUAUUUUUACUUCCAAUUUAGCAAGACAUUUUCCAAGGUGAAGUUGAGAACACAAAAGCUUUUAAUAAGGGUGUGUCGUGCAUACUAACGGCGUUGGAUACCUGCCUUUCUCCCAGUCUCGGGAGUAUGAAAUACAUCUCUGAUUAUGUACUUGAUUUCUGGACAGAGAGCUGAAAACUUUUAAAUCAAGAUGAUAUUGUACUUCUGUAUAAGAAGAUGUUCACAAAUCUGUUGUGCUUUUUUCGCUGUUUUCAGGGGGCUUGUUGUCUCCGUUCCCAAAGUGACUUCAGUUCCUGCUGACUAACAGUGGUCUCUACUGUUAAUGCUGUGCAUUAAAGAAGAUAUUUUCAGUAACUUGAAGGGUUAAACUCGCUCUUUAGCUGUGGAUUUCAUACUAAUUUAACAGGUACAGCAUGUCUGUAAAGGGCAGCUGGUACAAACAUCUCAGUACCCGUAUAUAAAGUUUGCUCUGUGUGAAUACCUAUUGUUAUGCCUGUGCUCUUGACCCAGGGAAUCAAGGUUGGCAGUGACUUUGUGUUAAUCCAAAACUGUUCAUUGUCAAUGUGGUUCACUGCUUUGAAUGCAGCAAUUUCACCUUGCAGUUAGAGUUUGUGCUAUUCUGUUUGCUUUCAAUAGGUAAAUAAAUGUCAGGGAGUGUUGGAGCAUUGUUGAUACUAGUGCUGGUUAUAGAACAGAUUUUUUUUUUCACUUAGGUUUGUUAACAAAGGUUCAUUAUGUCUAACUCUUCUACUGAUUCUGUUCUCGCAGAAGAGCACUGUUGGAAGAAGAUGCUCUGUUUGAGGAAGAUGCACGUACAUGUAUACAAGGGCUACCAUUUCUCGAGGCUGCGAUGAGUGGAUCCAGUGUGAACCAAGCCCUCUACUGGCAGCUCUGCUCUGUUGUUGGUUAAAUACUCACCGAGAGCACUGACAGGCUACAAGUUCUUGGUUUGUCUGCUUGGGCCUCUAAAGAAAGCAAAACUCAGCUAAAGCUGUAUAAAAAGCUAAAAGAUGAUUCUAGGUCAUCAGAUUAGCUGUCCAUGUUAUGUAAGGUCUGUCUCUAAAAGCUCCUUCCUCCCCUCUCCCAGAAGACUGAGACCCUUUUGCAGAUGGUUUUUACUGCACUUCCUUGCUGAAUCUUGUUUGCUGUCUGUAGGUCUCUUAUUUCCUGAGUCCCUGUGAUUUUUGAUUCUGAUGGCUUUUCCUUCUUGCUGUCCUUCAUAUAUGUGAGCAGAAUUAAAAUUUUCUUUUUGAACUUCAUUGUACUAAAAUAAAACAAGAAACUCUUAGUCUUGGUCUCUGUGCUCUUGGGAUAUCCCAGAAGGCUAUAAUUUGUAAUUGUACUCUUUAAUCACUUUUGGACUGCACUGAUCUUAAUGCACCUGUACUCAGAUGAGGCUUUACUGACACCAUGCAAAGUGAUGUUUUUACACUUUUUUAAUCCAUGUGGAAAAUCCUCACUUUCCUUAUCCUGAUAUCCCACUAAAUUACAACCAUUUUUAUCAAGAGAGAAAAGAGUGUACUGCUCUGCUUGCAGCAAUAAAUAAUUAUAGUGCUCUAGAUUUUGUGUUUUAUAAGGACUGUGUAUAAUUUGUAUUUUUACAUUUCUUGAUGCUUGUAUCUCUGUGAGAGGUCUUCAUUCAGAAGACCUGUAGAAUACUGAAACAAUUAAAACUUUCCUCAGCAAACUGCUAAUAUAGUUCUUACUACUUUGUUUUUGUCCCAAAGAAGCUGGAAAUAACUGAACCUUAUUAACAGUUUAUAGUUUCAGAGCACAAGUUUGGACUCCUGCUGAAAGGGGUGAACUUUUGUACCCUCAUAGAUCUUAGUUGGUUUGGGGAGUUGAUCUGAUUUAUAGAAAGCCUUCAACUGCAAAAUCUUGCACUGGAUGUGGUGAUUCAAUUCCCUGGUCAGUACUCUAUGAUGUCCCCAAUUCUUCAACUGCACACUUGUAUCAAUAAAAAAGUUUGGGUGUGCACUCCUAAUAUGUGUAUAUUUAUUUACUUUAAAAUUUUAUAUACAUGGUGUGUAUGGUGCAAAGUAAAACUUCAAGAAUUAUAUAAAGAUGAAAUAAAAAAAUCUUUAACCUUAUUAACAUCACACGAAAGAACCUGAAAGAAGAGCACUAACUUCUCUGUAGAGGGACACCUUUUUUUUCAGCAUAAUGUAUUUCAGAACUGGUUAAAGGGGAAGGUGCUGCAGAAUAAAUCUUCCUCUUGAGAUUAACUUUUUUCCCUUUUGGUACUGCACUUGAUUAGACCUCAGAUGAUUCUCAUUCUUGAAGAACAUUCUUGCAGAGGAGGAGCUUGGCAAGAUCAGUAUCUUGGAGUAAUUUAAACCAGUGUACUACAUCUUCUGUUGAAUUCUUCAGAUUUUUUCCAAAGCUUCAUAUAAUACCCAUUCAUGAGCAACCACAAACCUAUUUCCCCCACUUCUUGGUAUAGGUAAUAGCAGUCACACUAUGGUCACUUGUCACUACUAACAGUUUUUUGUAAGUAGUUGACUUCAAAUGGGUUUGCCUUUCAGUAUUUUGGAAGCUAUCCAGGUUUUGUAGCUUAAGUGCAUGGAAGGUCUUCAGUUUAUUUCUGCACUUCAGUUAUGCCUGAUGAACUUACUGAAAUUUCUUUUUAUGCGUAAAAACUAACUUAGGAUGCAUUGUCUCUGCCAUCCAAACUUAACUGACUCAUAAUAUGAUGAUAAAAAGAGUGGAAAAAUUCCUACCAUCCAUUUUAGUAAGAAGAGUUAUCUCUUGCAUCUUCAUUUUGUUAGUGAACUUUCCUUCUUUGAAUUAACAGUUUAUAUUUAAGAUUACUCAAUCUUUGGUGAUGGGGGGUUUUUGCUGUUUUUGUUUUGGGGUUUUUUGUGUGUGUGUUUUUUAAAUUCAAAGAAAGUAGCCAUGUCUGUUUCAACCAUAAAGUGACUGUGAUGCUGGGUUAAUGUUUCAACUUAGUCUGACAGUUUACAUGGCAGAGACUCCUAAGACUAUUCUGAGCAAUGUUGCUUUUGAACUGUUAGGCAGCUUUUGCUGUGCCAGUAUGCUGUGCUGUGUGA